AAAAGGAGGAGGAAGAAGAAGAAAAGGCAAAAAGAAAUAGAGAUGGGAUUGAUGUGAAUGGCUACUCCAUAUUGAAAUUGUUGCCUCUUCCAAUGUUGAAAAUAUGAGCUUCGACUUGACUUCAGCAUCAAGAGCCGACCAGUGAUAAGUUUGAUGUCUCCUUCUAGUUUGUCGGUUGUGCUUCCAUUUGAUGUCCCUUCUAGAUUUUUCUCCUAGCUUGAUUUUUAAGGAAUUUUCAAGUAAUUGCUGGUGUGAUAAGGUCUGGAACAGUGUAGCAUAUUGUUUCUUCUUCAUUUGAGCUAAGGCACUUUCAUGUUGGAUAACUACCGUUCUUUAAUGUUUGUAUGCAUGUGGUUGUUCCAUGAAUAAUUCUACUUUUGUGCAUACUUGCGAGAUCCAUUUCAACUGAGGAGGAAAACAAAGCAUUAUUU